UGGGGAAUUUUGGACAAUGGGCGAAAGCCUGAUCCAGCAAUGCCGCGUGUGUGAAGAAGGCCUUCGGGUUGUAAAGCACUUUUGUCCGGAAAGAAAUCCUUGGCUCUAAUACAGUCGGGGGAUGACGGUACCGGAAGAAUAAGCACCGGCUAACUACGUGCCAGCAGCCGCGGUAAUACGUAGGGUGCAAGCGUUAAUCGGAAUUACUGGGCGUAAAGCGUGCGCAGGCGGUUUGCUAAGACCGAUGUGAAAUCCCCGGGCUCAACCUGGGAACUGCAUUGGUGACUGACAGGCUAGAGUAUGGCAGAGGGGGGUAGAAUUCCACGUGUAGCAGUGAAAUGCGUAGAGAUGUGGAGGAAUACCGAUGGCGAAGGCAGCCCCCUGGGCCAAAUACUGACGCUCAUGCACGAAAGCGUGGGGAGCAAACAGGAUUAGAUACCCUGGUAGUCCACGCCCUAAACGAUGUCAACUAGUUGUUGGGGAUUCAUUUCCUUAGUAACGUAGCUAACGCGUGAAGUUGACCGCCUGGGGAGUACGGUCGCAAGAUUAAAACUUAAAUGAAUUGACGGGGUCAUAGCUGUUUCCU
rnacentral:rRNA from 1 species